GACGAACGCUGGCGGCGUGCCUAAUACAUGCAAGUUGAGCGCUGAAGGUUGGUACUUGUACCAACUGGAUGAGCAGCGAACGGGUGAGUAACGCGUGGGGAAUCUGCCUUUGAGCGGGGGACAACAUUUGGAAGCGAAUGCUAAUACCGCAUAAAAACUUUAAACACAAGUUUUAAGUUUGAAAGAUGCAAUUGCAUCACUCAAAGAUGAUCCCGCGUUGUAUUAGCUAGUUGGUGAGGUAAAGGCUCACCAAGGCGAUGAUACAUAGCCGACCUGAGAGGGUGAUCGGCCACAUUGGGACUGAGACAUGGCCCAAACUCCUACGGGAGGCAGCAGUAGGGAAUCUUCGGCAAUGGACGAAAGUCUGACCGAGCAACGCCGCGUGAGUGAAGAAGGUUUUCGGAUCGUAAAACUCUGUUGGUAGAGAAGAACGUUGGUGAGAGUGGAAAGCUCAUCAAGUGACGGUAACUACCCAGAAAGGGACGGCUAACUACGUG
rnacentral:rRNA from 1 species